AGCAUGUAUGCAUCAAUAUAUUUCUAAUCUUAUAGUAAAUUUUAAUUUCCCAAAAAUUAUUAUUUUUCCUAUAUUUUGAUGCUCACAAAAUUGACUCAAUAAAUCAAAUUCAACUAUUUAAAACAAGGGAAUUUUUAGGGUGUUACAUUACACACUGGGGAUACCAGUUUACCAAAGUGAAAGCAAGAGAAAAAGAACAAACAGCAUCCAUGCUGAACUACACAAAGUUUCAGACAAAGAAACAAAUCUUAAUACAGAACAGCAAUACCAAAGUUGAAGUUAAGAUCAAACCACAUACAUAAUAUAUUGAAUCCAACAACUUCCACUAUAAGUGUACCAGUUCAACUCUAAUUGAUAACUCCUGUUGCAAUCUCCUGUCAUCUUCAUUAGCAAUUGUUUUUUUGAAUGAACUGGAGGGACCGAAGUCCCUACAGGAAAUAUAUUAAAACAAAAAGAGGUUCAGAACAAAAACAUACAAAAAACACAAAAACAGAAAUAGGAAAAAAAGACACGGACCAGCAGCAGCACAGGGAGUUCGGGAGACAAAGAAAGAAAUAAAGAAAAUAAGCCUACUCCUACAAACUAUUGUAGACUCUGAAUCCAAGAUUGAAACUAGAAGUGGAGACCAGGCUUGAUCCUGUAUUCAAGAAGGGAGGCCUCUUUGAGAAAAACCCUCUGGCAACCUGGUAGGCUCGGCUGAAUUCCUUUGAAGAUGAGAACAUUCUGUUGGUAUAAAUUAACUGCACUCCAUUUAAAUAGAUUUAAGUAGGAUUAUCUGCAAGCGCACAGAUAUCAUACCAGUGUCACAUUUUACCUAGAGGUUUUAAAUAUCGUAUCCACAGGGAACAAUUGUGAUGAUGACAAAGUAUAUAGACUUAACCCUACAAUUAGGCUAGAUCAUAUCAAGAAAAAAGGAAAUAGCUAAUGCACUCUGGUUCCGACUCCGGUAAACUUUGUAUAAUAUCGUCUUAUCAGGCAAGUAACCUAAUAGGAGAAGAAACAGAGUAAUCUCUUAUGACACUUCUGGGGGCGCCUAUCAAUCCUAUCAAUGGGAAGUGGACUACAGAGGAAUCAACGCAACUGUCACCUACGCGAACUACCACUGUCCGGCUAAUCAGGGGACAUUCACAAGUAAACCUAGCCUAGGCACCACGCCUACACUACAAAAUAGUACUUCAACCAAGUAAUGACCAAGAUCAAAGCACUCAAUAUGAGUUGUGAACCAAAGAACAAAUAAGAACAAGUUGCUUACUUAAAUCAGAAGGGUAAGUAGAAAAGUACCUCAGAACACAGCUCCGGGUGAGGGAACUGAAUCCAGAAGAAUACAACCACGAAGAAGUGCCGACAUGCCGAAACUCCUAUAGAAUCUCUACUCCUCUACUUAAUCUCUCUAAUCUCUAAAUAAGACU
rnacentral:lncRNA from 1 species